rnacentral:lncRNA from 1 species
GUCUUCCUCCUUUUGAUAGGUACUAUCUCUUCCACAUAGUGAGUUGCUUCUAAAAUCUCUCCACCACAUCCCAAACUCAUGAAGAUCUAAACAGAGCUCCCAAUGGAAGGCCUAGAUAAUUGGUGAGGAGGGUCCCCACUCUACAUCUUAGAACUCUAGCUAGGUCCUCUACAUUAGCAACCCUCUAAGUGGUUUCAACUAAGUUUUCUCUAAAUUUGUUUUUAACUUGAGAUUACCUCAAACCACAUGAAUGUCCAAUUCAAGUACUCCAUAUGCUUCUUGUCAGUAUCACAUAGAAUAAGCGUAUCAUCAACAAAUAAUAGGUCUAACACCUCUAUAAACUCUCCACCUCUUCUUCUAACUGAAAACCUCACGAUAAAGCCUCCUUCCUUUUCCCGAUUUGGGAUAUAGGAGAAUGCCUCCAUGGCUAUAACGAAGAGAUAAGGGUAUCGGGUCACCCUGUCUCAAGCUUUUAGAACUCUAGAAACAUUCUUUUUGGGUCCCAUUAAUUAGUAUGGAGAAGCAAAUUAUAGAGAUAUACCACUUAAUCAAUCUUAUCCACUUAGAACCAAACCUCAUGUUUUAAGCCCAUUUGACAUGAUCAUACACCUUCUUGAUAUCCAGUUUACAUAUCACCCCACUCUUGAUGCUUUUAAGCCUUGAUUCAAUGGCUUCAAUUAUUAUGGGGAUUGGAUCUAAAAUUUGC